rnacentral:rRNA from 1 species
AUAAUACUCCAUAGAUUAGAGACACUGGAAUGUUCUUUAGUCGAAAGUUCUGGCGCCUUAGGAUGGAUCUGCGGUCGAUUAGGUUGUUGUUGGGGUAACGGCCCAACAAGCCUGUAAUCGAUACGGGUUGUGGGAGCAAGAGCCCGGAGAUGGAAUCUGAGACACGAUUCCAGGCCCUACGGGGCGCAGCAGGCGCGAAAACUUUACAAUGCAGGAAACUGUGAUAAGGGAACUCCGAGUGCCCGUAUACGCGGGCUGUCCAGGUGUUUAAAAAUCAUCUGAAGAAAGGGCCGGGCAAGACCGGUGCCAGCCGCCGCGGUAAUACCGGCGGCUCGAGUGGUGGCCACUAUUAUUGGGCUUAAAGCGUCCGUAGCUGGACCGAUAAGUCUCUUGGGAAAUCCGCCGGCUCAACCGGCGGGCGUCUAAGGGAUACUGUUAGUCUAGGGACCGGGAGAGGUAAGAGGUACUCCGGGGGUAGGAGUGAAAUCCUGUAAUCCCCGGGGGACCACCGAUGGCGAAGGCAUCUCACCAGAACGGCUCCGACAGUGAGGGACGAAAGCUGGGGGAGCGAACCGGAUUAGAUACCCGGGUAGUCCCAGCCGUAAACUAUGCGCGUUAGGUGU